CUGAGUAUCUUUCAAUCUUGAAGCACAAUUUUUAUUUUUGUACAUUCAUUUUAGUGAACGGUCCGGAAGCUUAGCGGAGCUCUGAAUAAUUUCUUCUGUGCAUUUGAUAGUUUAGCGAAAGUUUUAAAUCCAAGAAAAUUUUUUCAAGUUUCGCGGGUCAAAUAAAGAAAAGAAAAACUGAAGAAUGUCGAAAAUUGUUUUAUUAUUUUUAAUUGUAGUGAUCAUUGGCUUUCAUGCCGAUGUAGCUACAGCAUGUCAAGGCCGAUUAUGCGAUGAUUCAGGAAAUAAUCGGUGUUGUUAUGCUCAUCUGUGUAUGUACAAGCCAGGAAGUUCAGAGAAUGUGGGAACUUGCAUGUCAUUUAUGUUAGAUCCGAUGUAUUUCCCUUGGCAAUGAAAAACGAGACCCAAUUUCAGAAAAUUUGAUAUUACGACAGACAGCAUGUCAAUGUUUCUAUAAAAAGGUCUAUAAAUAUUGCAGCGAUAUCUCAUAAAAUAAUACAUUGUAAUUAUUAAUUACUUAACAAUAAAAUAAAAUUUAUUA